GCAUUGUUGGUUCAGUGGCAGAAUUCUAACCUUGCAUGUAGGAGACCCAGGUUCAAUUCCUGGCCAGUGCA
rnacentral:tRNA from 1 species